rnacentral:antisense_RNA from 1 species
GCUUGGCCUUUGGACUACCCCAUCUGUCGCUCUAACGAGCCGGCCUCGCCGCCAGGGGACGCUUGGGCCGCAGGAAGGUCGCUGGGUCGUGAGCUGGCGCCGGGGACGCCAAGCGACUGCGGGGCUUCCCUCAGCGUCCUGCUAUCCGGCUGCCCGCCGCGCUCCCUGGUAGUGUCCGUGGGCGCGCAGGCCUUGAAGAACCUCCUCGCGGCGGGCCGCCGAGCGCAGGAGAGGUGUCAAAGCGCUGGCGCGUCUCCAGAGCCCCGGGAGGAAGGCUGUAACGGCAGCCCCAUUGUAGACAGGGACAUUCGCAUCCCGAGCCCUGGAUCUCUGAAAAGCAGCCCAGAAUUUGGAAGCUGGAAGGAACUUUAGAUCGUCCAUUCUGGGUGUCUCUCUUCGUUGGCGUUUUCCCACUGAGGUUAUGUAAACAUGAAGAGGAGCCUACAAGUGUCAAGGAAAAAACGACAGCUAACCACAGGGCAGGCCAUGGCCAAGAUAGCUCAGUGUUCUCCGCUCUCAUAGGUCAGGUCACAACCCCCAGGAGACCUGGAGAACUGAAUGCUGCUGCCCCCAAGGAGGAGGCUGCUGUCUUAUCCCAGGAGGGAGAGCAGGUGAAGUCCCCAGGGGAGGAAGCACCUAGCCCCAUUCCUGCUGAGCAGGAGGUGGCAGGUACCCCAGACUGGGAGGUAAGGACAGCCCGGGGCUUCAACUGGAACGUCUCCAGCCUGGGUCCGACUGAGCAGCCAUGGAGCAUUGCAGAGUGGGAGGCAGCAGGGCAGGGAGGCAGUGCUGGAGGCUGGCUCAACCCCAAGACCAGCAGGCCAAGCUGCCAUCCCAGGGGAGCCGGGACGUCUGUGCAGAGCUGAGAGGCAGCAGCCAUGUGUGAACAGACUGGCCUCAUCCUGGCCCCCCCCGACUUCUUGUGGACAGAGCCUGUUUCCCUGUCUGUGCAACACAGAACCUGCCUGAUCUCACUGCUGGAUCCCUCUUCUUCCUGCCAGGAAAAUAAAAAGGUUCAAAAGGAAGUUGCUGCGUAUCCAUCUGAGGCCUCUGAGGACAGCAAAGAGCAAAGGCCCUGGGAGCGGGUCUCCGUACCCAUGACAGAGCUCUGGCUGGACUGGUUCUCAGCCUCUAACACCCCCAACACUCAGAACCGUGAAGAAAAACUUUCCAAUAAAUCCAAGAGUUGCUGCUGCCAUAGGCCAGGCUGCCGCCUUUCGGGACCUCCGUCUUCAGAGAAACCCAGCCUGGCUUCAUCCACACUCCCUGUCCCCACAGCUGCAGGAACAGCACUUCCUGCCACCGAGCCGUGUGACCACAGUGGAUUGUCUCCGGAGGGGCCCAAGGGGGCCCUGGCCACCCUUCUGACUCGGUGCCAGGGGACAGACCAACGUCCCUCUCGUGCUGACAGCCGGGCCGCACCCUGGCGUGAGGGCAUUUACAGAAAUGCUGGCGGAACUGCUGCCAGGGAGGCUGUAGGGUCCUCUGGCAAAAGAGGCCUCAGGUGGCUCCUCA